AACGUAGGAGGCAAGCGUUAUCCGGAGUUACUGGGCGUAAAGCGCGUGUAGGUGGAUUGGUAAGUUACUUAUAAAAGCUCCUGGCUAAACUAGGAGAGGUUGAGUGAUACUGCCAGUCUUGAAUAGAGGAGAGGUUGACGGAAUUCCGCGUGUAGUGGUGAAAUGCGUAGAGAUGCGGAAGAACACCAGUGGCGAAGGCGGUCAACUGGCCUCAUAUUGACACUCAGACGCGAAGGCAUGGGUAGCGAACAGG
rnacentral:rRNA from 1 species